rnacentral:rRNA from 1 species
UUUAAUGAGAGUUUGAUCCUGGCUCAGGACGAACGCUGGCGGCGUGCCUAAUACAUGCAAGUGGAACGCAUGAUUGAUACCGGAGCUUGCUCCACCAUUAAUCAUGAGUCGCGAACGGGUGAGUAACGCGUAGGUAACCUACCUCAUAGCGGGGGAUAACUAUUGGAAACGAUAGCUAAUACCGCAUAACAGUAUUUAUCGCAUGGUAAAUGCUUGAAAGGAGCAACUGCUUCACUAUGAGAUGGACCUGCGUUGUAUUAGCUAGUUGGUGGGGUAACGGCUCACCAAGGCCUCGAUACAUAGCCGACCUGAGAGGGUGAUCGGCCACACUGGGACUGAGACACGGCCCAGACUCCUACGGGAGGCAGCAGUAGGGAAUCUUCGGCAAUGGGGGGAACCCUGACCGAGCAACGCCGCGUGAGUGAAGAAGGUUUUCGGAUCGUAAAGCUCUGUUGUAAGAGAAGAACGUGUGUGAGAGUGGAAAGUUCACACAGUGACGGUAACUUACCAGAAAGGGACGGCU